UACGGAGGGUGCAAGCGUUAUCCGGAUUUAUUGGGCUUAAAGGGUCCGUAGGCGGCUCUGUAAGUCAGUGGUGAAAUCUCACAGCUUAACUGUGAAACUGCCAUUGAUACUGCAGGUCUUGAGUGUUAUUGAAGUAGCUGGAAUAAGUAGUGUAGCGGUGAAAUGCAUAGAUAUUACUUAGAACACCAAUUGCGAAGGCAGGUUACUAAGCAACAACUGACGCUGAUGGACGAAAGCGUGGGGAGCGAACAGG
rnacentral:rRNA from 1 species